GACGAACGCUGGCGGCGUGCUUAACACAUGCAAGUCGAACGGAAAGGCCUAGCUUGCUGGGUGCUCGAGUGGCGAACGGGUGAGUAACACGUGGGUGAUCUGCCCCUAACUUCGGGAUAAGCUUGGGAAACUGGGUCUAAUACCGGAUAGGACAAUCGUUUAGUGUCGGUUGUGGAAAGUUUUUUCGGUUAGGGAUGAGCCCGCGGCCUAUCAGCUUGUUGGUGGGGUAAUGGCCUACCAAGGCGUCGACGGGUAGCCGGCCUGAGAGGGUGGACGGCCACAUUGGGACUGAGAUACGGCCCAGACUCCUACGGGAGGCAGCAGUGGGGAAUAUUGCACAAUGGGCGCAAGCCUGAUGCAGCGACGCCGCGUGGGGGAUGACGGCCUUCGGGUUGUAAACCUCUUUCGACAGGGACGAAGCUUUGGUGACGGUACCUGUAUAAGAAGCACCGGCUAACUACGUG
rnacentral:rRNA from 1 species